rnacentral:lncRNA from 1 species
CUUUGUACAGAGGGGAAAUGACACCCUCAAAGCAUCUAAGGUUUCUUUCUAUCCAACUCCAAAAAUGGCAUGCUGGUACCCUUUUUUUCUUCCACCCCAGCUGAUAUAUGCUUCUCAUGGAAUAGUCAAUACCCAGCUCAUCCCAAAAAGGUUAAGAAUAUACUCCCCAGUCUCGGGUAGCUUAAUAAUGGAGGAUAGACGGUUGAUGUUUUCUGAUUCUUAGACACAUGUAGCCCCUGCUGCAUAGUACAGUUCCCCUUUUGGCAACGUUAUCGUGAGUCGAGCAAGCAUCCUGGACUAGCAACCAGCUGAAACAGGAUGUCUUGUUGGAAUUUUGAGAUUUCUAGGCCAGUCUCCAGGGUCACACUUCAGAAAUGUUGUUGUUGGGGCAGAUCUUCUUGUAACAAGAUUUAACAAAAUAUGGACCAUCCUGGCUGAAACUCCAAACUAAUCUGUCCUUUUUAGAAGUGCCGAUUGAGAACCCUUGCAAUCUAUUUAGAGGAACUCCCAGCUCACCCACCUCCGAGUCUUGAAAAUUCCUUCUCAAGUGCAAAUUCCAAGAAUUCUCUUCCCUGCAUUGGCUAACUGUGGCUUGGGACAGCACAUUUAACUGGUAGUCUUGGGAAAUUUUCCUGUAAAGUAGUAAAGUACUAUUCCCCAGACAUACUCUAAAUUAGCUAUGCUCAGGAAAAUCCUCCCAGAGUCGGCUUAUGUUUCGGUGGCAAUACCAUAAGAGUCACAACUCACAAGAUACUUAGUGUGCCAGAAGUCUUGCUCCCCAUGUUUAAUUUUAAUAAUCUAUCUCCAGAAAGAAUCUUCCUCAUUGCAAUACCUCCAGAACCAUAACAGGAGCAAACAUUUAUUAUGAACAGGCGGAUCUCUUGAUCCUAGGCCCCCACACUGUCUAGGCUUAAUACUUUGCUCCAACUGACCAGAUGAUAUUUGUGCUGAGUGCUACUACCCUCCAAAAGAAAGUUCCUUCUUUAACGGGGUUAAAAGGUCUUAAUCAUCUAGAAAGUCCAGCAAUACUUGGUGUUCUUGCAUAAUCAAGGAGAUAUAGAAGUAACCGAUAAUCCCUUUAACAACAAAUUUUCUUUAACAUUUUCAACAACAACAACAACAACAAACCCAGUGUAUUCCCACUUUGUGGGGUCUGGGGGGGUAAGAUGUACGCAGUCCAUACCUCUACCUCUGAUGAAGUAGAAAGGCUGUUUCCGAAAGACCCCCGGCUCAAGUUACGAGAUAUCAAACAAACACAUAGUACAGCACAGAAGCAGAUGACAUAACAUAGAUACUGCAGCCAUAAGGAAUAUAAAACAGAGUAAAGCAGGAAAGCAGGAAUAUAAAGCAGAGGAAAGCACACAGAUUCGUAACAAACAUAGAACACGGAACACGGAACAGAACAUUGAAUACGGAAUCAUACCAGGAAUACACCCCCACCAAUUACCUCCCUACAUUAGCGACCCGAACAGGCCCUAAUCCUCUGCCGUAAUUCGCGUCUUCCAGACCUUCCUAUCUAGGGUCAUGUCCUCGGUAAGCUGUAACUGUUCCAUGUCCCGCCUAAUCACCUCACCCCAGUACUUCUUCGGUCUACCCCUACCCCGUCUAAAACCAUCCAACGCUAGCCUCUCACACCUACGGACCGGGGCAUCCAUGCCCCUCCUCUUCACGUGUCCGAACCAUCUCAAUCGUGCUUCCCGCAUCUUACACUCCACUGAAGUCACCCCAACCUUCUCCCGGAUAGUCUCAUUCCGAGCUCUAUCCCUUCGGGUCAGUCCACACAUCCAGCGCAACAUCCGCAUUUCUGCCACCUUCAUUCUUUGGGUGUGGGAGUUCUUAACUGGCCAACACUCCGCUCCAUACAGCAAGGCCGGACGGACUACCACCCUAUAGAAUUUACCUUUAAGCUUGGGCGGCACCUUCUUAUCACACAGCACCCCCGAUGCAAGUUUCCACUUCAUCCAUCCCGCCCCGAUACGGUGCGAGACAUCCUCGUCAAUCUCACCGUUACUCUGGAUCACGGACCCGAGGUACUUGAACUUAUCCCUUUUCUUUACCUCCUGCGCUUCUAGCCUCACCACUACCUCAUUCUCUCGCCUUACGUCAUUAAACUUACAUUCCACAUACUCUGUCUUGGUUCUGCUCACCCUGAACCCUUUAGACUCCAGAGUUUGCCUCCACAGCUCUAAUUUGUCGUUCACACCCCCUCGCGUCUCAUCUAUCAGGACUACAUCGUCUGCAAAAAGCAUACACCACGGCACCUCCCCUUGGAUACGCCGCGUUAACACAUCCAUUACUAGCGCAAACAAAAAGGGACUAAGAGUAGAUCCCUGAUGCAAUCCUGUCAGGACAGUGAAAUGCUCUGAGUCUCCUCCCGCCGUCCUCACCUGGGUUUUCGCUCCCUCAUACAUAUCCUUAAUUACUCUGCUAUAUGCCUGCGGUACUCCACUCACCUCCAAGCAUCUCCAAAGCACCUCCCUGGGGACUUUGUCGUACGCCUUUUCUAGGUCGAUGAACACCAUGUGCAAAUCCUUCUUCCUUUCCCUAUAUUGCUCCACCAACCGCCGUACCAGGUGAAUUGCCUCCGUCGUCGAGCGGCCGGGCAUAAAUCCGAACUGAUUUUCCGAGAUAGACACUAUCCGUCUCAGCCUCACCUCGACCACUCUCUCCCAGAUCUUCAUAGAGUGACUCAGUAACUUAAUCCCCCUAUAGUUAACAUUUUGGAAACGAAAAAUAUUUCAAAUCUCUGAAUAUUUCUUUCAAAUGAUGAUUGAUUCAUGUCUUAACAUUCUUCCAGAAUUUGAUUAAUUUCACUAUCAUAGAGCAUAACGUGACAACCAUUAUCGAACAGGGUAGUUUAUCAUAAUAUCUACUUCUGAGGUGAAGCUGAAAUAAUGAGGAACAC